CCCGGGGAACUGAAACAUCUAAGUACCCGGAGGAGAAGAAAGCAAAAGCGAUUCCCUGAGUAGCGGCGAGCGAAACGGGAACAGCCCAAACCAAGAGGCUUGCCUCUUGGGGUUGUAGGACACUCAAUACGGAGUGACAAAGGAACGGAGUAGAUGAAGCGGUCUGGAAAGGCCCGCCAGAGGAGGUAACAGCCCUGUAGUCGAAACUUCGUUCCCUCCUGAGUGGAUCCUGAGUACGGCGGGACACGAGGAAUCCCGUCGGAAGCAGGGAGGACCAUCUCCCAAGGCUAAAUACUCCCUAGUGACCGAUAGUGAACCAGUACCGUGAGGGAAAGGUGAAAAGCACCCCGGGAGGGGAGUGAAAGAGAACCUGAAACCGUGUGCCUACAAGUAGUCAGAGCCCGUUUAUGGGUGAUGGCGUGCCUUUUGUAGAAUGAACCGGCGAGUUACGAUCUCGUGCGAGGUUAAGUCGAAAAGACGGAGCCGUAGCGAAAGCGAGUCUGAAUAGGGCGUAUAGUACGAGGUCGUAGACCCGAAACCAGGUGAUCUACCCAUGUCCAGGGUGAAGGUAGGGUAAUACCUACUGGAGGCCCGAACCCACGCACGUUGAAAAGUGCGGGGAUGAGGUGUGGGUAGGGGUGAAAUGCCAAUCGAACUUGGAGAUAGCUGGUUCUCCCCGAAAUAGCUUUAGGGCUAGCCUCGAGUGAAGAGUCUUGGAGGUAGAGCACUGAUUGGGCUAGGGGCCCUCAUCGGGUUACCGAACUCAGUCAAACUCCGAAUGCCAAUGACUUAUACUCGGGAGUCAGACUACGAGUGAUAAGAUCCGUGGUCAAGAGGGAAACAGCCCAGAUCACCAGCUAAGGUCCCAAAGUAUACGUUAAGUGGAAAAGGAUGUGGAGUUGCUUAGACAACCAGGAUGUUGGCUUAGAAGCAGCCACCAUUUAAAGAGUGCGUAAUAGCUCACUGGUCGAGUGACUCUGCGCCGAAAAUGUACCGGGGCUAAACGUAUCACCGAAGCUGUGGGACGACUUGCGUCGUCGGUAGGGGAGCGUUCUAAGGGCGUCGAAGCUAGACCGGAAGGACUAGUGGAGCGCUUAGAAGUGAGAAUGCCGGUGUGAGUAGCGAAAACAGAGGUGAGAAUCCUCUGCACCGAAAGCCUAAGGUUUCCUGAGGAAGGCUCGUCCGCUCAGGGUUAGUCGGGACCUAAGCCGAGGCCGAAAGGCGUAGGCGAUGGACAACAGGUUGAUAUUCCUGUACCACCUCCUCACCGUUUGAGCAAUGGGGGGACGCAGGAGGAUAGGGUCAGCGCGCGACUGGUUGUGCGCGUCCAAGCAGUUAGGCGCCUCAAGUAGGCAAAUCCGCUUGAGUAGGCUGAGCUGUGAUGGCGAGGGAAAUCAAGUACCGAAGUGCCUGAUUCCACACUGCCAAGAAAAGCCUCUAGCGAGGUGAGAGGUGCCCGUACCGCAAACCGACACAGGUAGGCGAGGAGAGAAUCCUAAGGUGCGCGGGAGAACUCUCGUUAAGGAACUCGGCAAAAUGACCCCGUAACUUCGGGAGAAGGGGUGCUCCCUCGGGUGAAUAGCCCAGGGGAGCCGCAGUGAAAAGGCCCAAGCGACUGUUUAUCAAAAACACAGGUCUCUGCGAAGCCGUAAGGCGAAGUAUAGGGGCUGACACCUGCCCGGUGCUGGAAGGUUAAGGGGAGCGCUUAGCGCAAGCGAAGGUGCGAACCGAAGCCCCAGUAAACGGCGGCCGUAACUAUAACGGUCCUAAGGUAGCGAAAUUCCUUGUCGGGUAAGUUCCGACCCGCACGAAAGGUGUAACGACUUGGGCACUGUCUCAACGAGAGACCCGGUGAAAUCAUAGUACCUGUGAAGAUGCAGGUUACCCGCGACAGGACGGAAAGACCCCGUGGAGCUUUACUGCAGCCUGAUAUUGAAUGUUGGUGCGACAUGUACAGCAUAGGUGGGAGACUGAGAAGCCUGGACGCCAGUCUAGGUGGAG
rnacentral:rRNA from 1 species